GGAUGUAGCUCAGGGGUAGAGCAUCGGUUUGUGGUUCCGAGGGUCGCGGGUUCAAAUCCCGUCUUC
rnacentral:tRNA from 1 species